ANUUCUUUUAACGNCUNNCNUCGAUCGUAUAUAGCAUCAGCNUCGGUGUAGUCGUUCUAUAAGGCUCAACACUGAGUCCGGCUCGUCNUUACAGCCUAACACAUGCAAGUCGAACGGCAGCACAGGAGAGCUUGCUACUACUAGGGUAGGCGAGUAGGCGGACGGGUAGAGGAAUACAUACGGAAUACUAACUUCUAAGUACGUAGGGGGAUAAAUCGUAAGGGGAAACUUAAUCGCUAAAUACCCGCAUACACU
rnacentral:rRNA from 1 species